rnacentral:sRNA from 1 species
AGAGGCUCGAUGGUGGACGGUGUGCCAGCCGGUGCCACACUGCACCUCUCUGCCCUCAUCUUUUCGAAUCGGGGGCCCUAACCCCUGUCUUUCACGGGGUGCUGCCGGGUCAAGGCAUUCAUCCUCUAGCUGAAGGAGAGGACUUGGGUGAGGAGCUGCUGCCACCCGGGCUGGGCCAGGACCUGAGAUCUCAUUGCUACUGCUGCCGCUGCUGCCUGGGGAACCUUUCUGAGACCCAGGUUGGGGACAGUGCCGGAGGGGCCUCCUCUGCUGCAGACAUCUGGAACCAGGUGCAGAUGGGUCUCUUCCUUCCUGCCCCCAUCUCUCUCACUCCCGGCUCAGUGCGGCACUCUCCAGCCUCCUGUGGGAAUCAUCUGAAGUUCUGAGCCCGGAAGCCAAGGAGGAAGACGAGGAGGAGGAGGAGGAGGAGGAGGGAGAGGAAGUCAAGCCCUGAGAACCCUUGCACCUUCCUAGCAGGAGACAAGGAGCAACGCUGCAGUGGGGAGCA